rnacentral:rRNA from 1 species
AAUGGCUGCAGUAAUUUGACUGUACAAAGGUAGCAUAAUCAUUAGUUUUUUAAUUAAAAGCUUGUAUGAAAGGUUGGACGAAGUAAAUUCUGUCUCUAUUUAAAUUAAAUUAGAAUUUAAUUUUUAAGUUAAAAAGCUUAAAUUUUUAUAAAAGACGAGAAGACCCUAUAGAGUUUAAUAAUUUAAUUUGAAUAAUUAAUAUAGAUUAAUUUCUUUUGUUUAAUUUAAAUUUAUUUUAUUGGGGUAAUAAAAAGAUUUAAAAAAUUCUUUUUUUUAAAAACAUAUAUUUAUGAAAUUUUAUGAUCCAUUAUUUAUGAUUAUAAGAUUAAAUUACCUUAGGGAUAACAGCGUAAUUUUUUUAAAGAGUUCUUAUCGAUAAAAAAGUUUGCGACCUCGAUGUUGGAUUAAAGAUUAGUUUAGGUGUAGAAGUUUAAAUUUUUGGUCUGUUCGACCAAUAAAUCUUUACAUGAUCUGAGUUCAAACCGGUGUAAGCCAGGUUGGUUUCUAUCUUUAUUAAAUUUUAAUAUUUUAGUACGAAAGGACCAAAUAUUAGGUAUAUAAAUAUUUAAUUUUAUUGAAUAU